rnacentral:rRNA from 1 species
CGGUAAUUCCAGCUCCAAUGGUGUAUGCUAACAUUGUUGCAGUUAAAAAGCUCGUAGUCGAAUUUUUAAGGGAAUCAAUUUCGUGUGGUCUUAAUGAACUACAAAGGAAGAUGAUUUAUCUUAUUUUGCGCUUAUACACCAUUGGAAUUCGUUUUCUGACAGUGAAUUAAGUGUGUAUUUACUUUGAGAAAAUUAGAGUGUUCUAAGCAGUCUUACGGCUUUAUCCUAAAGCAUGGAAUGAUAAGUAAUGACAUCGGUUAAUUUCUGUUGGUUUGAGAGGUUGAUGUAAUGAUUUAUAGAGUUAGUCGGAGGUAUUAGUAUUUUGUCGUUAGAGGUGAAAUUCCGGGAUCGACAAAAGACUAACAACUGCGAAGGCAUUUACCUAGGAUUUGCUCCUUGAUCAAGAACGUAAGUUGGGGGAUCGAAGACGAUCAGAUACCGUCGUAGUCUCAACUUUAAACUAUAUCAGCUAGGGGUUGGCAAAUGUUUAUAUGACUUUGUUAGAACCUUAAGAGAAAUCAAAGCGUUUGGGUUCCGGGGGGAGUAUGGUCGCAAGGCUGAAACUUAAAGGAAUUGACGGAAGGGCACCACAAGAUGUGGAUCCUGUGGCUUAAUUUUGACUCAACACUGGAAAACUUACCAGGUCCAGACAUAGGUAAGAUAGACAGGUUGAUAGCUCUUUCUUGAUUCUAUGGGUGGUGGUGCAUGGCCGUUCUUAGUUGGUGGAGUGAUUUGUCUGGUUAAUUCCGUUAACGAACGAGACUAUUACCUGCUAAAUAGUACGAUCUUUUAAUUAGGAUAGUUGCUUCUUAGAGGGACUGGCUUUGCAUAAAUCGCUGGAAGUUGGUAGCAAUAACAGGUCUGUGAUGCCCUUAGAUGUCCUGGGCAGCGCACGGGCUACAAUAGGAGAGUAACUAAGCUUGUUCAACUUACCUCGAAAAGGGCUGUGAAAUCUUAAAACUAUUCUUAUAUUUGGGAUCGCGCUUUGAAAUUUUAACGUGUAAACCAGGAAUACCUAGUAAGUGUAUGUCAUCAACGUGCACUGAAUACGUCCCUGCCCUUUGUACACACCGCCCGUCGCUCCUACCGAUUGGAUGAGUUGGUGAGUGGAUUGGAGUAAUCACUAUCUUCUUUAACAGCAGAUAGUAGUAUUUAAUAAGAUUCGCAAACUAGAUUAUCUAGAGGAAGGAGAAUUCGAAACAAGGUAACC